AGAAGAAGGAGCGAGAGUCGUCUUAGUUGAAGAGAAGUUGUUGAACUAAGUGGUUAAGAAAGGUAUGUGAUUGACCGAAGGAAUGAGAUAAUAGUUCUCUCAGUCCCUUUCUAUACGAGAACAAUUGGCGCCCACGGUGGGCCAAGAAAAUUUGAAGCAGGAGAAAAACAAAUGGUGUCAACAAGAAACAUGACCAAUGAGAAGAUUUCAGAUGCCGAGCAAAUGGUAUUGUUAAUGUCUCUGCUGAGGGAGAUGGCAAAGAUGAAAAGGAAGAAUUAGGAGGAGAUUCAAGCUCUCUGAAAGGAGAAUGAGAAGAUGAAGAAGCAAUUGACCAGCUUAAGGCCUAAUAAUCAAGCUGGAACCUCACGUGCUAGUCCAUCGCACAUUAAGUCUUUGGUAGACCCUUGGACCACUCGUCCUCAAGAGACAAUGGAGGAGUCCAAGUUGAACAAAUCACUUUUUAUGGGCG
rnacentral:lncRNA from 1 species